rnacentral:rRNA from 1 species
GAUGAACGCUAGCGGCAGGCCUAAUACAUGCAAGUCGAGGGGCAGCAGGAAUAGCAAUAUUUGCGGGCGACCGGCGCACGGGUGCGUAACACGUAUACAAUCUGCCUUCUACAGGGGGAUAGCCUUUCGAAAGAGAGAUUAAUACCCCAUAAUAAAUUGAAUAGCUUUAUUUGAUUUUGAAAGAUCCGUCGGUAGAAGAUGAGUAUGCGGGUGAUUAGCUAGUUGGUGAGGUAACGUCUCACCAAGGCAACGAUCACUAGGGGAUCUGAGAGGACUACCCCCCACACUGGUACUGAGACACGGACCAGACUCCUACGGGAGGCAGCAGUAAGGAAUAUUGGACAAUGGAGGCAACUCUGAUCCAGCCAUGCCGCGUGCAGGAUGAAUGCCCUAUGGGUAGUAAACUGCUUUUGUACGAGAGAAAACCUAUUUACGUGUAGAUAGUUGAUAGUAUCGUAAGAAAAGGAUCGGCUAACUUCGUGCCAGCAGCCGCGGUAAAAC